rnacentral:rRNA from 1 species
AACGUAGGUUCCGAGCGUUAUCCGGAUUUACUGGGCGUAAAGCGCGUUCAGGCGGUUUGGCAAGUCGGGCAUGAAAUCUCUCGGCUCAACCGGGAGAGGUUGUCCGAUACUUCCAGACUUGAGGGCAGUAGAGGGUGGUGGAAUUCCGGGUGUAGUGGUGAAAUGCGUAGAUAUCCGGAGGAACACCAGUGGCGAAAGCGGCCACCUGGACUGCGCCUGACGCUGACACGCGAAAGCUAGGGGAGCGAACGGG